rnacentral:rRNA from 1 species
UACGUAGGGGGCAAGCGUUGUCCGGAAUCAUUGGGCGUAAAGAGCGUGUAGGCGGCCCGAUAAGUCCGCUGUGAAAGUCCAGGGCUCAACCCUGGAAUGCCGGUGGAUACUGUCGGGCUCGAAUCCGGAAGAGGUGAGUGGAAUUCCUGGUGUAGCGGUGAAAUGCGCAGAUAUCAGGAGGAACACCAAUGGCGAAGGCAGCUCACUGGGACGGUAUUGACGCUGAGACGCGAAAAGCGUGGGGGAGCAAAACAGG